rnacentral:rRNA from 1 species
UACGGAGGGAGCUAGCGUUGUUCGGAAUUACUGGGCGUAAAGCGCGCGUAGGCGGCUUUGUAAGUUAGAGGUGAAAGCCCGGGGCUCAACUCCGGAACUGCCUUUAAGACUGCAUCGCUUGAAUCCGGGAGAGGUGAGUGGAAUUCCGGGUGUAGAGGUGAAAUUCGUAGAUAUUCGGAAGAACACCAGUGGCGAAGGCGGCUCACUGGACCGGUAUUGACGCUGAGGUGCGAAAGCGUGGGGAGCAAACAGG